UCUACGCACCGUGGAUGUAAAUUCUGCACGAAUCACAUUCCAGUUUUCUGUUUGUUUUAUUUUUUAGUUUAGUUAGUGAGAUGUCACAAAUGUUUCACCGGUUUAAAUCACUUUAAAUAUGCCCUUUCAUGCUUUCAAGAAGAUAUGCGCCAGGAUCAAGUGUCUUGCUGUGGUUUCAAAAGGGAGAUAAAGCCGCUCUCUUAAUCUUGCGGACGUUUGGUUUAGCGGAGAAGAAGUGCGUCUCUUUCCCGAACUCUGGCGAUCCAAAUCCUCUGUGUACCGCUGCCGAUGGAGACAAUGAUGCUGCUACGGCUGGAUGAAUACUGGUCUAGAGCGAGAUGUUAGCUGUCGACAACCAUGAUUGGGUAUUACCUUGGAAGAAGACUAGGCUGUUGUUGCAAGGAUCAGAAUAACCAAGUACAGAGAGCUCUUCACAAAAGUAAAGACCUGGAAGCAAGGGUUCAUCUGGCAGAAGCAGCCUAAUUGGAAGCAGAGAAUAUGGAGCUAGAUAUGGAAGAAUUUGUUGUCAUGCUGGAUGAUGAACUUGACAAACUUGGGUCAGCAGUGAAGAGAAUGCACUGCAAUAUGCCACCAGAACCAGUGGUAAGUUGUCCAGUAUUUUUAAUUGUAUUCAUAGUGCGC